rnacentral:rRNA from 2 species
AACGCUGGCGGCGUGCCUAAUACAUGCAAGUAGAACGCUGAAGAGAGGAGCUUGCUCUUCUUGGAUGAGUUGCGAACGGGUGAGUAACGCGUAGGUAACCUGCCUUGUAGCGGGGGAUAACUAUUGGAAACGAUAGCUAAUACCGCAUAACAAUGGAUGACACAUGUCAUUUAUUUGAAAGGGGCAAUUGCUCCACUACAAGAUGGACCUGCGUUGUAUUAGCUAGUAGGUGAGGUAAUGGCUCACCUAGGCGACGAUACAUAGCCGACCUGAGAGGGUGAUCGGCCACACUGGGACUGAGACACGGCCCAGACUCCUACGGGAGGCAGCAGUAGGGAAUCUUCGGCAAUGGGGGCAACCCUGACCGAGCAACGCCGCGUGAGUGAAGAAGGUUUUCGGAUCGUAAAGCUCUGUUGUAAGUCAAGAACGGGUGUGAGAGUGGAAAGUUCACACUGUGACGGUAGCUUACCAGAAAGGGACGGCUAACUACGUGCCAGCAGCCGCGGUAAUACGUAGGUCCCGAGCGUUGUCCGGAUUUAUUGGGCGUAAAGCGAGCGCAGGCGGUUUGAUAAGUCUGAAGUUAAAGGCUGUGGCUCAACCAUAGUUCGCUUUGGAAACUGUCAAACUUGAGUGCAGAAGGGGAGAGUGGAAUUCCAUGUGUAGCGGUGAAAUGCGUAGAUAUAUGGAGGAACACCGGUGGCGAAAGCGGCUCUCUGGUCUGUAACUGACGCUGAGGCUCGAAAGCGUGGGGAGCGAACAGGAUUAGAUACCCUGGUAGUCCACGCCGUAAACGAUGAGUGCUAGGUGUUGGAUCCUUUCCGGGAUUCAGUGCCGCAGCUAACGCAUUAAGCACUCCGCCUGGGGAGUACGACCGCAAGGUUGAAACUCAAAGGAAUUGACGGGGGCCCGCACAAGCGGUGGAGCAUGUGGUUUAAUUCGAAGCAACGCGAAGAACCUUACCAGGUCUUGACAUCCCGAUGCUAUUUCUAGAGAUAGAAAGUUACUUCGGUACAUCGGUGACAGGUGGUGCAUGGUUGUCGUCAGCUCGUGUCGUGAGAUGUUGGGUUAAGUCCCGCAACGAGCGCAACCCCUAUUGUUAGUUGCCAUCAUUCAGUUGGGCACUCUAGCGAGACUGCCGGUAAUAAACCGGAGGAAGGUGGGGAUGACGUCAAAUCAUCAUGCCCCUUAUGACCUGGGCUACACACGUGCUACAAUGGUUGGUACAACGAGUUGCGAGUCGGUGACGGCGAGCUAAUCUCUUAAAGCCAAUCUCAGUUCGGAUUGUAGGCUGCAACUCGCCUACAUGAAGUCGGAAUCGCUAGUAAUCGCGGAUCAGCACGCCGCGGUGAAUACGUUCCCGGGCCUUGUACACACCGCCCGUCACACCACGAGAGUUUGUAACACCCGAAGUCGGUGAGGUAACCUUUUGGAGCCAGCCGCCUAAGGUGGGACAGAUGAUUGGGGUGAAG